AUCGGCCACAAGUUGGGCUGGAUGGUCUAGGAGGGCUUUUCCAGCCUCAGGGAUUCUGGGAUCAGUUACUGGGCUGCAUGACAAGGGGUGCUUUUAAUGCAAGGAACUGGUGUUUUGGAAAUCUGUGGUGUGUUCCCGUAGGACACCAGGAGAGGAGAGAAGCUGCCAGUUAAGGCCGUGUGAGCUCGUAGCUUUUGAAUAUUCUCUCUCUUGUGUUCAAAAUGUUCAGAGUGCCCUAAGAGGCCAGAAGAGCAAGAUUUUAUCAAAAACCAGCUGCUGGCCUUUUUUCCUCCCAUGUAAGUCACUGUCUUUUCUCAGAGGCAACAAUGUUUAUUUUUUUCCUAAAACCCUUUAAAUUACUUUUUUUAAGGACUACUGCUUCUGUAAGAGUAGUGAGUAAAGCUUUGUUUUAGAGAAUGAAAGUCUGUCACAGGGAAACAGUAGUAGAUAUAAAGUGUCUGACCAAAAAUAAUAAUGUUUUUCUUCUCAAAAAAGAUUUUGGCAAGUCUGUCUGACCAAACUGCUCACUACCUGUGAUCUUAGUCCGUUUGUGAAAUGCAGGAGCUGAAAUAAAACCCCAGCAUUGGUAUCAAGUGAUCACAACAAAUUCAGGCUUAUUUUAAGGAAAACUCAUUUGAAGAGUCUUGGUGUCAGUUGUGCUUUGUGCUCCUUUGUCCUCAGCUGAGGUUCUUUGCCUUGUGGUCACAUAAAUCAAGUGCCUUUCCCAGUGCUGAGGCAACCCCAGUUUCUGCAGCAGCCUGCUCUUGGCUCAGGGAUUUCUGGAGUCAAGGCCAAACCUCUGGCUCUCCCUCUGUCCCCUGCUUGUGAACGAGCCUAUCACUGCACCAGGGUGAUGUUUGCUUUUGGGAGCAAAUAUGGGAGUGUGACCCAGUGUCUUGUGUUUAAAAAGAAGCAGGAAAACAUAAAUUCUUGGGAAUUCUCCCCUCCUGUGGUGAGCUCCUGAGGGUCUGUUGGAGCUGGAACAAGCAAGGAGGUCUCUUUUGAAGUGCCCUGUGAGGGGCAGGCAGGGGUAAUGCCUACUGUGGAGUUUGGGCAGGUGCUGCAUGCACAGGUAGCACCAGCUCCCUGGGUAUUCCAUGGGUUUUUGGCAGCAUGCCGGUGGGUUUGGGGUUUUUCCAUAGCUUAGCGCAUCCGUUAGCUGUGACAGUGACAGUGACACGUGGGACUGGCAGCAGUCCCUGGUGGAGAGCUUCCAGGUGCCAGGCGCCCAGCCUGCACGGAGCACCUCUCAUUCCCUACCUGCUGCUGGCUGUGCCAGGUGUGCAGCACUGCCCUGCCCUUACCUGCUGCCCAGAAGUGCUUGGGAUGAGCUGUUUAGUCAAACAUCCCCAGCAGCAGCUGGGUCUGUUCUUUGUUGCCAAAACUUGGUAACUCCCCAGUUUGCAAAGCUGUAGCUUGACAGCAGCGAUGUGGAGUUGUUACAUGGCAAGAUUCACAACUCAGGAUUCACUGGAGGGUUGCCACAUGACCAUGCAUAGGAUUUCUGAUGGGUUUUUUUCCUGUGCAGGGCUCAUUGGGCUGCAGAGGGCUUAUUUUCUCCAUCCCAAGUGCUUGGAAAGGCCCUGAGGAGCCCCUGAGAGCUCAGCAAUACAAGUAGGUCUAGACCAAAGGAGGAUGGGACCCGGGAAGAGCUGGACCUGCGCCAUGGCUCAUGGAUUGUGGGCUUUGCAUGUGUAGGUGGAACAGAUCCCAUGAAUCAUAAAAAAGCUUCCUCCUUUUCUGUCCUUCAGAUGAGGGACAUUUGCUGUCAGCUGAGCUGGUUUGGAUAUAAAUUCUGUCACUUCUCUCUGAAACUCAAAAUCACCAAAAGGAAAGAUUGUGUGAUAAAAGUGCUGCACAUUCCCAGGCAGCUCCUGCUCACAGACAGCAGCCCUCCCCCAGCCAGGCACAUGGUUAUGGGAUCAGCCAGAGCCAGUGGGAAGGGUUUGUGUGUGAGGAAUUCUCAUAGACGAGGGCCUGAAAACAGACCCCGCUACUUCCCAGGACCUCCUUUGUUUGUAGAUUUGUUGGGUUCUGGGGAACAACUGGCUUAGAGUGGAAUACAGGAAAUUAUGAUUAUUGCCUGUAGUUUUGCAAAAGCGGGAGAUACUUGUUUGUUCACACAACAGAUCACUGGGUGUACCUGCUCCCCUGUCCCCUGUUGGAGGGGGAGCUGACACGAUGGGUGCCCAGUGCAGGGAGAGGCUUGGUGGUGACUUGUGUCUUCUGCUUCCCUGUGUGUCCCCACUGCAGGGCCAGUUGUGCAUUUGAAGUGAAGCUCUACAGGUCCCACCCAGGCCGGCCCUGAUGAGAUGUUGCUGUGUGCAUCCUGUGAGGGGGCCUUGAAUGCCUCAGUGGGCAGAGCAUGAGACAAACGUGGCUCUGACAUGCCAGGAGGAUCCUUGAGUGUCCCUUUGGGGAGUAAUUUUGUCCCUCUUUCAGAGCACUGUGGUCAGAGGGCUCAGGUUACCUAAAGAUCACCUUCCUGGUGGAAUUAAUAAAUGCUGACAGAUUAACUGUGGAGCUGGACUUUUCAGUUAUAUUCCAGGGUUUGGAGGAAAUAUAUUCAAGGCCAUUUUGCUUAUUUUACUGUUUUUUUCAGCUGUGUCCCUAGAAUUUUACAGUUCUGCUUCCUUUCUUUUUUUGGGAAAAGCCUUGUGAAGCAGUGCUGUGUCCUGUCAUAUGUGGGAACCGUGGUGGUGUCUCUCCAGGCCCUAGAACCCUCUUGACUUUGGUUUUGUACAUGGGUCAGGAUUUGUGUGUGCUCAAGGGGUGAGGCAGGGUCCUGCAGUGCCCUGCUGGCAGGGACAGCCAGGAUGCUGCAGGCUGGCACAAAAGCUCUGCUGCCCAAGGAGCCUCUGCUGUGUGCCCAGAGCUGUGGGAUGUUCCAUGUGCACUGUGCUGCAGGAAAGCACCAUCUCUGCAGUUCCUGCAUGGCUGGAGGGGCCAAGGCAGGAAUGCCUGAUCAUACCCACACUGGACAAAGGGAUCAGCCUCAGAGUGCUUUUGCUAUAACAAAACCACAAUGGGAAAUAUAUUUAAAUAAUGAAGAAUUUGAUAAAAGGGAAGGCUCAGGUGUAGGGAAGUCCUAAAGACAGGGCAGAUGUGUUUUGGGGUUUUUUGACAGGAAACGGAGGUGACUGACACAGACACCUCAGGGACUGUGGGGGGAACUGAAACAGGCCCUGUGUCCAGGUGUGUCCCCAUGUAUGUCCCACCAUGUCCUGGCCAAGUGGCUGGGCUGGCACUGCAGUGUGCUGUUCGCAGAGGUGAUGCUGACCUUGUCACCCACGCCUGACAGCCCUGCUCAGCACCUUCCUGCAGUUACCCUUUGUAUCACUGUGGAAUUGCAACAAAAACAGCCACAGCACCUGAGGUGCCUGAGGGCAGGCAGGGAUUUUUACCUGCUUUCUCAGAAUAUUCCACACAUUAAUCUUUCUCUUCAUUCCUGCUGGUUUUUGUCUUUAUGUAAUGACAGACAAAGCAUCUUUACUUCAGGGCUUUGUGUACGUGCAUUUCUUACUUAUUGUAACUAUUUUUUUCCUUACUAAAAAUGCCAGAUUAAAAGCUGUUGUUGUUUACUGGUGUGAGAUUCUCUCUCAAAAUAAAAUGUGUGUUAGGGUGUUAGAUAGCAACACAUAAAAGAUCUAUUUAAAUAUAACAAUUCUAUUAGAUCAUAUAUCUUAGGUAACAAUUGGUUUUGCUGUUGAUGCUGUAUUUAUUUUUAUCCACCUGUGCUUUGACAUUGGCUGUUUACUGUCCCUCUUGCAAUAUCAGGAUACAGCAUGUUUAUUUUAGUCAAGGCAAUCUAGUUUUUUUUGAUAUAAAUAUGUUCUGGAAUUAAAAGUUAAGCCUUUGUUAGCAAAGCCUGAA